ACAAGGGCUUUCAUCCUUAGCUUCAGGUUCUAAAUUCACGGCAAACAAUGGGCACGUUGCCACGGAGUAAGUUAGCUCAGGCCAGCCAUGCACAGGGAAUGACUUUCUGAGGGAGAUGACUGGGCCUGUACCAGCAGGACCCUCAAAGGGACAGUCACCAUUUGUCACUGAUUCAGAGAGGAACUUCUCACAGCAACUGCCCUCUAAGUGGAGCAGCAGCACCCAGCCAGGGUAAUGCAAAGCCUAGUUUUAACUUCCUUCUCAAUGCCUGCUGCCAAAGCCUCCAGCUGCCUUAGAGAUCCAGGCUCGUGGCAUUUCUUCAACUGAGCAUCAACUCCUGACCACAGGAUGGAGGAAAACCUUCUUGCCCUCCCUCUGCCUUGAGAUAAUAAGUAAGAGGGAAUCAUUUUACAGGACUGUUUUAAACAUCCUUUCAUCUGACCCCUCUUUUUGAGAUGCGCUGUCUGUGAUGAAGCUCUGAGAACGAGACUUUUUAAACAGUCUGCUGAGGUACAGCGUACAAGCUCUGUGAAUGCCAUAUAUACACACGUACAAGUGGGUGUGUGGGUGGGUGUGCGUGUGUAAAUAAAAUGGCCUAGUUUAAAAUGUCUUUAAUAACCAGUAUUUGACAAAUUGAACCAAAUGGGUGCGAGCUCCCCCUGCUGACUCAGAAGCUAAAAUAAAGAAUCCUUUUCAGAAGGCUUUCUUCGCAAAGCCUUUUGAUACUGGCUCAAGGUCAAAGGAGUGGACCAGUGUAAGGAUGUUAAUUUAAGCACAGUUAACAACACAGGCCACAAGCUUGCAGCAAGGACGUUAUGUGCUUUAUUUUUAUUCCACUAGGGUGCUUUUACAGUGGCUACCAAUUCUGAUUUCAGUGAAACUACUCUUGAUUUACAGAGUAUCAGAAUAAAAUCAUUUCAUACAAACU